rnacentral:tRNA from 1 species
UGGGUUGUAGCUCAGUGGUAGAGCACUUGCCUUACAUGAGUGGGGCACUGCGUUCCAUCCUCAGCACCUCAU